CGGCCACCACCGCAACCACUACAUCACUGUUCUUCUCUUUUCCGUAUCUCUUCGAUUCUCUCCCCAUAUCUUCUCUCCCACCCACUACGCCUCUCCUCCCCGACUUCGGCAUCACCGCCACCUCGCUUCCCGUCCCCCUCACUUGUCGAGCAGGGCCCCCGCAAGCAGCUCGCCACUGUUCCCUUCGCUUGCCGUGCGGGCCCCAGCCUGGCGCGGUGGCGCGGCUGGCCUGGCACGGCGGGCGGGCGGUGGUGGAGCUGAGCCACGUAGUGGAGGGGCACCUGGGCAGCUCGCAGACACAGGAGCGGUGCAGGCUCCUGGCCUCGCAGAUCUGCUCCUUCACCGAGCGCCAAGUCUGCGCGGCUGGAAGCGGCCAGCAGUAGAUGCGGCGGCACCCAGUGUGCUCAGCGACACCUCCGACGCUCCCUUCAAGGCCACCAAGAAGAGGAGGACAAUGGAGAGCGUGAAGCUCAAGUGAGGGAGAGCUUGCCCGCUGUUGGCGAUGUCUCCGCCGACGACUGGCACAACUGGAGGAAGUGCGGCAUUGCAGGCUCCGAGGCGCGGAGCGCGGAAGGGCUAGGGACGCGCAGACGGCCCGGGCUCGGCUCUGGCGGCGGUGUGCAGCGCUGCCGGCGUGCGGCGAGGCCGACGGCUGCGGCCCGCAGCACCUGCUUCCGGCCAUUUUUAUAUAUUUAUUUUCCGAUUUGUAGUGGUGGAUGGGACAUGACACGCCCCUGAGAAUUCAUUUCUUAGGCUAAAUCAUGCCCCCAUCCGCCCCUACAAAUUGAUUUAUAGGGGCGGAUGAAGACAUGAUCUGUUCUUAGAGUGAAUUUUUAGGGACGACUGCGUUAUCCGUGCUUACAAAUAUCAUUUUUAGCAGUGAAAAUUAGGAGUGAGUGUGCUGUCCGUUCCUAAAAAUACGGUUUUACCUGCCCCUACAAACUUUUAUUGUAGCAUUGGCUGAAAUUUCGGUGACAAGCGUUUACUGGCAAAUGAUAUAAAUAGGAGCCCUCUUCACUGACCC